UUGGAUAGCUAGUGUUUGUAGGCUCCGUGCUCGCGCAUCRAACUACAUACCACCUAUCCUUCUCAGUUGCUUCGCGAGCAAAAUUAAGCUCGUUGACGAGAUAUGGGGCUUGUGUUGCGUACCUAACUAGAAGGAAUUGUUGAGUUUGGMUUCAMACGUUGUUCGYGGCAUCUCCCUCAACGGGGGAAGUCGUGAACACAAUAAUYGGCACUUGUGAUCCUUGCGUCCUKGCACCAAAAAUGUUGUGUUCGCAAAGGUGAACAAGAUGUCGGUUGAAMUCUCGGAUGCGGAAAGAUUAUGGAYGGUGACUCGAAGUGAUUCUGUCCCGCCAAAGCACGUUUGUCCUCGKAC
rnacentral:misc_RNA from 1 species